rnacentral:lncRNA from 1 species
UUUUUUUUGGAAGCGUAGUGUACUGGGAUGAUAGCGUGACCAGAACUUAGAAGCAACAGAAUUUUUAUCUUCCAGGUGAGUAAACAUCCUCUCUAUGAUAUUCCAAGUUUUAAAGCUGGGAAACUUACUCCAUUUUGUGAGAGUGUUUGUUCAAUGCGUAGGACAUCUGAGUUUUGCUGCAGUCGUUUCAUUGUGAUUAUUCAUUUUUAUUGGCCUCACUGCUGUAAGAGUUAAACCUUGUCUUUUCUUCUUCUAUGCGAUUCAGUAGUUCAUGUGCG